CCCAAAACAAUAAAGUCUGACACUUUUUCCACUGUUUCCCCAUCUAUUUUUUAUGAAGUGAUGGGACCGGGAUGCCAUGAUCUUCAUACUGUGGGUUUUGGCAGGGCCCAAGUCCCAGUUGGAUACAACUGAGUGACAAGGCAUAGCAACAGAAUCCCUGCCACGUGGGUUUGAAUCCCAAUCUUAGGUAAACAGUUUCAAACACAACUUUUAGAAAUGGAAAGAUGAUGACCUGCCCAAUACUUUGUAAGCAGUGGCCUAGAUGGAGAGAGGAGCUGAAUGUUGGGAGGAAUAAGCAGUGGGAAAAAUGAGGAAUCCCCUUCAUAACCUGCUGGAAAAUCUGCUAAAUAACUGACCUGUGCCCACAAUUUUCAUUGGUCUGAUUCUUGGCAUCAAGGUUAAGGACAGAGGAACCCUCACCCGCUUGGGUAACAGCUACUAGGGCACAGCAGACAGUGGAGUUUUGGGACACACUGGUGAGCAGCCCCUGCCGGGGUCCCUCAGUUGUACCCACUGCCACUCACCUGUUUGCAGGGGGUUCAAGGAAAUAAGGAGAGAUUGUAAACCAAUUAAGAUUUUGUUAGCCAUAUGUCCUUCCAGCCAUAGGGGCAAGGACCUCCUAUUUUAACCAGAGGUCUUCUGGAAUCCAAGACUGAGCCAUAUGAGCUUUUUGUUGUGUCUGUUUUUGCUGUCCCGGUUUCCAGCACACUGGGCUUCUUGUCAUUUCCACCGCACUGGGUUUUCUUUGUGUUCAGCUUCCACUGCAGGAGCUUUUGCUGAGCUGGUCUUCUGCUGUGCUUGGCCCAAGCUGAGGUUGUGUCAGCCAGGUUAAAUCUGAGAAAUGACACCAAAGACAUUGGGGGAGUGUUUAAUUUCCUAAGUUUUGUCUCACUGCAGCAAAAAUUUGAAGCAGUGGACCAGUGUUACAGCUCAGUUACAGCUCUGUUUUAUUUAGCAAGAAAGGGAAAAUACAUCCUUGAGCCUGCCCGAUGUAAAUUAGGCUAGCCAGGAGGGCUGUUGCUUCACCUGAGGUUCUCACUCCAGUCCUCAGACCUUCCUUUGUUCUGUUUUCUCAGUCUUUCCUUUCUUUGUCUUUUAGCCACCGCUUUUUUGGACUCCUUUUUCCUGUUGUAACUACCGAACAGUUUAGUCUCCACAGAAUUUCUGAAGAAUGGACAAGGCUGAGAUUGUUGUUCCGUUUUGCAGAUGAGGAAAUGAGUUUUGAACAGGUUAAAUAACUUUCUAAAUCCACCUGUUUCCUAAGAUAGAGAAGCAUAUUAUAUGGGAGAAGGCAAUGGCAUCCCAAGAGAAGCAUAUUUUAUAGCACUAUACAUAUAUGCCACUUUCAGACAGUUUCAUGUGCUUUUAAUCAAGUUUUGUAGUUAGUAUAAUUUUUUUAUCCCAAUUUUCCCUCAGGAUUCUUUUGAUUUUUUUUUCUCCCUGUUAGUCUCUAAUAGCAAACCACUUGUGAUGUCUAAUUAGAAAGUAUGAGCUGGAUUUUUCCAGGAAUGGAGGUAUCAAAGCUUAAUGGUGUCCUUCUUAUUAAAAACACACAGCUGUUUUUCCAGAGAUCCAAAAUAAGUAUCUUUUUGGUAGGAUACAAACCUCUGAGGUUUUUACUUGAAUGUGCUGUUUGCAUGUAAAAUUGGGAUUGAUUUUAACAUAAUGGAAAAUUAUUGAUGUCUGUGGAGUGAAUCUGUAUCAAUCUGAAUUUACUUUAGCUCAGACUUUACGAUUAAAACUUUAAUUUUACCAAGCAGAUUAGCAUCCCAUUAAAAUUUUUGUAUGUGACAGCUUUCCCUAAAUGCCUUCAAAAUGACAGUGCUUUUUAUGGUUGCAACAAGUGCUACUUGAAAAUGACUGUCUCAGUUUCCCCACAAAAGAGGCUAAUAGACCCAUGUAUCCCCAAAUCGGAGAUUAUUCUUGGUAGCUGUAGAGCAAGUCAGAUUUUUGCUCAUUUACUUGUGUUCUGAUUUUACUUCACAUAAAUAAGCUGUUGUGGAAACCCAUAUUAAUUCUCAAUGAAGGGGAAAAGAUAGGGAAUUGAAAAGGCAGCAAACAAAGUACUGUAUUGUAUUUUUGGAACAAUCUUUUUUUUUUAAAAAGUAAAUAUUUUCUCAGAGAAUAUCUGAAAUGUGUGAGAGAAAAAAUACAGAGAGUAAUGAGCGCAGGAUUUGUAUGAAUUUGAACUGGUUCAGGGCUUUGUUCUGCUACUUACUGUGUGACUUUGAAAAGUCACUGGACUAAUCUGGAUAUGAGUCUUCAUAGUCAUCAAGUGGGAAUGACUACAGUAGGUUGAAGGAAUGAGACAAAUAGGUAAUGAAGAAGCAUUCCUGGGAAAAGGCCCAGCAUGGAAAAAAAGGCGAGCAUGUCAUGUAGCUUAGUACUAUGGAUGUGGACAUGUAGAAUAAGGCAGGAAAUGACUCUAGAGAGAAAAAAAAGUCCGUUGAUUUAGGGCAUUUAACACCACACAAAGGAAUCUGACUACAUCUUGACAACAGUGACAGUUACUGGGUGUUCUCUGUGUUUUCCUUGCUGUGUUAUCAGUUUGCACACAAUGCUUUAUUGAAUUAUCAUAACUUCGCUUUGAGGAUGCUGAGGUCCAGAAUGCUGAAAAAAAACAAACAAACAAAAAAAAAAAAAACUCAUAUAGCACAGCUGGUAAGUUGAAGAGGCAAGAUUCAAAUCCUGUUCUGCCUGAUUUCAGAAUCAGGGCUUAUCCAUUCAUAACUCUGCUUUGAAAAAUAUCAAAUCCAAGAGUAUCAUGAUCAGAUUUUCUUUUAAGAAAGUGUGCUCUGACUUUGGGGAAGAGAACUAAUCUGGGAAAGAGGCCUAACUGGAGACAGACCAGGGGAAAGCUGACGCAGUCAUGUAGAAAUGAGAUGGUAGCCAGAAGUAAGGUAGAGAGACAUUGUAUUCAAGAUAUACUUUAAAAAGAGAAUCAAUAAAACUUAGCAAUUUAAAAUGAAAAGAAAAAAUAAAUAAAUGAGUCCACCCAGGGUGUUUUUUUUUUUUUAAUGUUUUCCUCCAUCCAUUCUAUAAUGUAGCUUUACUUUUAAAUAGUAUUUAAUGUUAACGCUCAUGGGUAUUCUGCUUGCCUUCUGAGCCUUUAAUUAUGCUAUUUCUUCUGCCUGGUAAAGAAGCCUUGUUAUAG
ensembl:lncRNA